AUUGAACGCUGGCGGCAGGCUUAACACAUGCAAGUCGAACGGUAACAGGAAGAAAGCUUGCUUUCUUUGCUGACGAGUGGCGGACGGGUGAGUAAUGCUUGGGAAUCUGGCUUAUGGAGGGGGAUAACUACGGGAAACUGUAGCUAAUACCGCGUAGUAUCGGAAGAUGAAAGUGUGGGACCGCAAGGCCACAUGCCAUGAGAUGAGCCCAAGUGGGAUUAGGUAGUUGGUUAGGUAAAGGCUGACCAAGCCGACGAUCUCUAGCUGGUCUGAGAGGAUGACCAGCCACACUGGAACUGAGACACGGUCCAGACUCCUACGGGAGGCAGCAGUGGGGAAUAUUGCACAAUGGGGGGAACCCUGAUGCAGCCAUGCCGCGUGAAUGAAGAAGGCCUUCGGGUUGUAAAGUUCUUUCGGUGAUGAGGAAGGUGUUUGUUUUAAUAGAACAAGCAAUUGACGUUAGUCACAGAAGAAGCACCGGCUAACUCCGUGCCAGCAGCCGCGGUAAUACGGAGGGUGCGAGCGUUAAUCGGAAUAACUGGGCGUAAAGGGCACGCAGGCGGUGACUUAAGUGAGAUGUGAAAGCCCCGAGCUUAACUUGGGAAUUGCAUUUCAUACUGGGUCG
rnacentral:rRNA from 1 species